GUCGUACGAGAAAGGGGCUUCGGUCCCGAGUAUCGUGGCAGACGGGUGAGUAACGCGUGGGUAACCUGCCCUCGAGUGGGGAAUAACCCAGGGAAACUUGGGCUAAUACCGCAUACGCUCGCGGCCUUCCUGGAGGCUGUGAGGAAUGGUGGGGAUCGAAAGACCUACCGCUCGAGGAGGGACCUGCGUCUGAUUAGCUAGUUGGUGGGGUAACGGCCUACCAAGGCGACGAUCAGUAGCCGGCCUGAGAGGGUGUCCGGCCACACUGGAACUGAGACACGGUCCAGACUCCUACGGGAGGCAGCAGUGAGGAAUCUUGCGCAAUGGGCGAAAGCCUGACGCAGCAACGCCGCGUGGGUGAUGAAGGCCUUCGGGUCAUAAAACCCUGUCGGGUGGGAAGAAACGGCGAUGGGCUAAUACCCCAACGUCUUGACUGUACCACCAGAGGAAGCCCCGGCUAACUCCGUGCCAGCAGCCGCGGUAAUACGGAGGGGGCCAGCGUUGUUCGGAAUUAUUGGGCGUAAAGGGCGCGUAGGCGGUCCGGCAAGUCAGUUGUGAAAUCCCCUGGCUCACCCAGGGAACUGCUUCUGAAACUGCCAGACUUGAGUCCGGGAGAGAAGAGUGGAAUUCCCAGUGUAGCGGUGGAAUGCGUAGAUAUUGGGAGGAACACCGGUGGCGAAGGCGGCUCUCUGGACCGGUACUGACGCUGAGGCGCGAAAGCUAGGGGAGCAAACAGGAUUAGAUACCCUGGUAGUCCUAGCUGUAAACGAUGGGCACUUGGUGUUGCGGGUAUUGACCCCUGCAGUGCCGAAGCUAACGCAUUAAGUGCCCCGCCUGGGGAGUACGGUCGCAAGGCUGAAACUCAAAGGAAUUGACGGGG
rnacentral:rRNA from 1 species